GACGAACGCUGGCGGCGUGCUUAACACAUGCAAGUCGAACGGAAAGGCCCUGCUUUUGUGGGGUGCUCGAGUGGCGAACGGGUGAGUAACACGUGAGUAACCUGCCCUUGACUUUGGGAUAACUUCAGGAAACUGGGGCUAAUACCGGAUAGGAGCUCCUGCUGCAUGGUGGGGGUUGGAAAGUUUCGGCGGUUGGGGAUGAACUCGCGGCUUAUCAGCUUGUUGGUGGGGUAGUGGCUUACCAAGGCUUUGACGGGUAGCCGGCCUGAGAGGGUGACCGGCCACAUUGGGACUGAGAUACGGCCCAGACUCCUACGGGAGGCAGCAGUGGGGAAUAUUGCACAAUGGGCGGAAGCCUGAUGCAGCAACGCCGCGUGCGGGAUUACGGCCUUCGGGUUGUAAACCGCUUUCGCCUGUGACGAAGCGUGAGUGACGGUAAUGGGUAAAGAAGCACCGGCUAACUACGUG
rnacentral:rRNA from 1 species